GCGCAGCAGGCGAGAACCUUCGCAAUGCGGGAACCGCGACGAGGGACUCCCAGUGCCUACGCUCAGCGUAGGCUGUUCCCGAGCCUAGAAAGCUCGGGGAGUAAGGGCUGGGUAAGACGGGUGCCAGCCGCCGCGGUAAUACCCGCAGCCCGAGUGGUGGCCACUAUUAUUGGGCCUAAAGCGUCCGUAGCCGGCCCGGUAAAUGCCUGGGUAAAUCGUGAGGCCUAACCUCACGAAUUCCGGGUAGACUGCCGGGCUAGGGACCGGAGGAGGGAGAGGGUACUCCAGGGGUAGGGGUGAAAUCCUGUAAUCCCUGGAGGACCACCGGUGGCGAAGGCGCUCUCCUAGGACGGGUCCGACGGUGAGGGACGAAAGCCAGGGGAGCGCACCGGAUUAGAUACCCCUGUAGU
rnacentral:rRNA from 1 species